rnacentral:rRNA from 1 species
AUUGAACGCUGGCGGCAUGCCUAACACAUGCAAGUCGAACGGUAGCGCGAGGAGCUUGCUCCUUGGCGACGAGUGGCGGACGGGUGAGUAAUGCUUGGGAAUCUGCCCUUUAGUGGGGGACAACACGGGGAAACUCGUGCUAAUACCGCAUACGUCCUACGGGAGAAAGUGGGGGAUCUUCGGACCUCACGCUAUUGGAUGAGCCCAAGUCGGAUUAGCUUGUUGGUGGGGUAAAGGCUCACCAAGGCGACGAUCCGUAGCUGGUCUGAGAGGACGAUCAGCCACACUGGGACUGAGACACGGCCCAGACUCCUACGGGAGGCAGCAGUGGGGAAUAUUGGACAAUGGGGGCAACCCUGAUCCAGCAAUGCCGCGUGUGUGAAGAAGGCCUGCGGGUUGUAAAGCACUUUCAGUAGAGAAGAAAAGCUAGGGGUUAAUACCCCCGAGUCUUGACGUAACCUACAGAAGAAGCACCGGCUAACUCCGUGCCAGCAGCCGCGGUAAUACGGAGGGUGCGAGCGUUAAUCGGAAUUACUGGGCGUAGAGCGCGCGUAGGCGGUUGGAUAAGUCGGAUGUGAAAGCCCAGGGCUUAACCUUGGAAUUGCACUCGAUACUGUCUAGC